GGGAGGCAGCAGUGGGGAAUUUUGGACAAUGGGGGAAACCCUGAUCCAGCCAUUCCGCGUGUGCGAUGAAGGCCUUCGGGUUGUAAAGCACUUUUGGCAGGAAAGAAAUCGCACCAAUUAAUACUUGGUGUGGAUGACGGUACCUGCAGAAUAAGCACCGGCUAACUACGUGCCAGCAGCCGCGGUAAUACGUAGGGUGCAAGCGUUAAUCGGAAUUACUGGGCGUAAAGCGUGCGCAGGCGGUUCGGAAAGAGAGGUGUGAAAUCCCAGGGCUCAACCUUGGAACUGCACUUUUAACUACCGAGCUAGAGUAUGUCAGAGGGGGGUGGAAUUCCGCGUGUAGCAGUGAAAUGCGUAGAUAUGCGGAGGAACACCGAUGGCGAAGGCAGCCCCCUGGGAUAAUACUGACGCUCAUGCACGAAAGCGUGGGGAGCAAACAGGAUUAGAUACCCUGGUAGUCCACGCCCUAAACGAUGUCAACUAGCUGUUGGGGCCUUCGGGCCUUAGUAGCGCAGCUAACGCGUGAAGUUGACCGCCUGGGGAGUACGGUCGCAAGAUUAAAACUC
rnacentral:rRNA from 1 species